rnacentral:lncRNA from 1 species
AUCCGAUGAUAUUGUAUAUUCCUCUUGAAUUCUUUUUGGUUCUAAUUUCAAAUUUGUUUGAAAUUGUACAUUCAUAUGCAUGUAUGUAGUACCGUAGAAUAUGUGAAACUCCUUCAAAAUUAAAAUAAAGCACAAAAGAAAUAAAACAAUACAAAUUAAACAGAAAACAGGUUUAGGGGGGGGGCUAAACCCUGUGGGGGCCUUUAGUCGUGGUUGGCCAGAAGAACCGCGACUAAAGGUCCUCCGCCCCGACGGCCGCCUGGCGCCCACGUGGACGGGCCUUUAGUUGCGGUUCUUAAGCAACCGCGACUAAAGGGGGGGCCUUUAGUCGCGCCUAUUUGGUCGCGGUUGCGCAACCGCGACUAAUGACAGUUGCGAACCGCGACCAAAGGCCCUUUUUCCACAAGUGCAGACAUCGUUGUUGCCGUCGAGGACACCGCGUCGUACCGUGCCUGCGACCGCGCCAUCUGCUGCCGACGACACCGCGUCAUACCGCACCUCCCGUGCCUGCGACCGUGCCAUCUGCCGUCGAUGCGCGCGUAACCGCGUCCUGCCGGCAGAGAAAGAAACCGGAUGUCGGAGGAAAUUUACGGGCCGAUGUUGGAGAUGCCCUAUAUCGGUUGCAUUUAAGAGUGGAGUGAUAUACACAGCUUCAUUGGAGUAGAUUGUAGUGCAGCUGCACUGACUAUAUCUUCCUAUUUUGGACCACAGUGCACUUGCGAAAAUGAAGCUUCCCGGGAAAAAGGUGCCCCAUUGUCCGAUCCAACCUGAGUUGCUUGCACACACGGACAAAUAACCUGAGUUGCUUGUAAACUCUUCGAAUUUUCCUGCAUGACGCGCUGAUAGAAGUCAGUUUCCCCGCCGUUCGCGGAGGCGCAUCGACGACUGUUGUUCCCAGCGCGGUUUCAGACGCCCUGCAUCCCGGAGCGGUCCUCGGCUAGGAGCAAGGCCGAUCUCCUCACAGACAUGCUAAAUCGAAAUCCAUCAAGAACGGAUCGAUGAUAAUUCGGUUUGCAUAUGCUAAAUGCACAACUUGAUUAGGUAUGACCAUGUGCUAGGUUUGAACGGAUGGACUAACCAUUGGAGUACUUGUUUUCAUCGUUGCCCAUCGAGACGGCAACUCAUCCAGCGCUCAACUAACAAGCGGCCUCGCCUGCUUCCAUUAGCGAGGCGUCUCAUCGACGUCCAAUGGGCAGACUAACGCCCUUGGCUUUGCCCUCUGGCGCCCGGACGACGAGCACCAGGCGCGGCCACUCCUCCUGGCAUGCCCUGCGCCCCGCGCUCGGCCAUCGGCCUAGCCCCCACGGGCGCAGAGGCGACCCGCCCGCACCGCUGCUCCUCCCGGAAAGGCUCCUCGCGGCGGCGUGCCGCCUAGGUGCGGCGGAAGCACCGGGCCUCCCUCGGCAUGUCUGACUGCGGCGGUGGCCUGGCUUGACGACGCCCUCCAGCAUCAGCGGCUACGGGAAGUGGGCGCACGACCAACACCUGUGCUGGUGGCGAGGGCCAUGACCAACCCAUAGCAGCAAGGCGUGGCGGCGACUCCAGCGCGGCGCCGUCCAGCGUGUGAGGCGACCAGAUCCAAGGCGAUGGUCUCUGCGUUGAAUUGGAGCAAAGGAUUCAAUCAGAUCGAUUGCAAUCCAUACACUCACACACGAAGGGAUAGAAACCUUAUCUCUUUUCCGUUCUUCAGAUUCGUCCUUCCAUUUUCUGUUAUCUGCAGAAAAGUGAAUCGAACCAUCAGACUAUUUGGACUUUGUAAUUUAGCCCUCAGGCUUACUAUUUUAACACUUUAACUCUUUGGUUUUUAUUAUCUCUAUUCUAAGCUUUUGGAUUUAGAAAAAUAUAUAUGGGAGAAAUACAGGUCAUCCUAAAUUUGG